AUCUGGCUGAGAAGCCUCUUCAGUGAGAUCCAAAGGCCUCUGGGCUGUGACUCGGCAAAGUUCAAGCUAGGGAGUUCCUGUCAGGCUCUCAUGGGAAACCUUACUUGUCUGGAAAUGAAGGACUCUGGCCAAGGCUAUACUCUGGUAGGGGACCUGAAGGCAACGGAAAAAGGCGGUCAUCCCACGGUAGUCUACAUGGGUAAAAGACCAUUUUUCUCCCUUCUGUGAGCCAUCUCACUCUCAAUGUGUGGUACAAGCAGCAGCAGCGGCACAUCCAAGACUACACAUCUUCAUGUGACAUGGGAAAAACGCAGCACGGAGAAAAAGAGACCACACGAAGUAAACAGCAUAAAGCACCUGCAGUGGGAGAGAGAAGCUGGAGGGUCAGCCAUGGGACACUCAUCCAUGCAGAAAGCUUCCCCAGGAAUUCCAACUGACUGCUUCAACUUCUUCAGUGGAUUCUGCGGCUAUUGUGAGGCACCAAUCUGAUGAUGUCAUUUGUUGCUUGCUAGAUUUGUUCUUUUACUCAUAGGACUCCGCAAACGGGACACUGUUCUUUUCAGGACUCUCUCUACUGGGGACUUUACCUGGCUGCCUUAAAGGGGCUUCUCCAGUUGAUUUGGGCUACAUGUGCUAAGUCGGAUUGGAUAAUGUUUUAUCUAACUGCUACUUAUCGUUUUUCUUUGGCUUGCUAUUAUAUUUGCUGACUCAAAACACAGAUAUGGCUUUAGAGCUCAUUUUUCAGCUCGUACAGCACAAAGCAAC